CCGGGGUCUGGAAGGAGGAUCGCGAUAUAAAAAAAAUCCGAGUCAGAGAAAUCAUCACGAUGAAGUCAGAGGCGAGAAACUGUCAGUGUAUACAGAGUCUUGCUCUGUCGCCCAGGUUGAAGUGCAGUGGUUCGAUCUCGGCUCAAUGCAACCUCUACCUCCCUGGCUCCCGCGAUUCUCCUGCCUCAGCCUCCUGAGUAGCUGAGAUUACAGGCGCCCGCCACCACCCCCGGCUAAUUUUGGUAUUUUUAGUAGAGAUGGGGUUUCACCAUGUUGGCCAGGCUGAUCUGGAACUCCUAGCCUCAAGCAAUCCGCCUUCAAAAGUGUUGGGGAUUACAGGAGUGAGCCACCGCGCCCGGCCUAUCAAUGAAUAAGAAAACUUUUAAAGAACCACAGGAUAGUAUUGGAGGUCAAGUCAAGUAUGUUCCUCUUGGAAAUUUAGUAACAAACUACAUGUUGCUAUCUCAUAAUAGCAGCUAACAUUUAUGAAGUAUUCAUUGUCAUGAGGCACCGUACAUAGAUUUCUAAUUUAAUCCUUACAACGAUUUUAUUAGGGAGAAACUGCUAUUAGACCCAUUUUGUAAAUGAGAAAACUAAGGCACACAAAGUUUAAUGAGGGAACCAGGAUUAAACCUAAGCAAUCUAACUCCAGGUCCCAGAUUUUUUAACCAUUACAGUACUGUUUAAUUUGAUUUGAUAUGUUAAAAGGAUUAAUAAAAUUAAUACAGGUCCAUUCCCUUAUUCAUAAAUGUUCAUUGUCUUCAUUUAUUUCUUUAUACUGUUCUGCUGAAAUUGCACUCUCAUCUCCCCAAUAACUUUGUAAUAUCCAAUGCCAUUUUUUUCAGUCAUCCCAUUUUAAAAUAUAUUUUUACUAGAAUAGUGAAAUAUAUAUUCAGAUAAAAUUGGCUUUGUUUUAAUAAUGAUCAGUAAAAGUAAAUUCAUUUUAAUCAUUUCCACACAUUCAUGAAAAGUAAAGGGGAAAAAUGGGCAUAGAGGUAACCACUAGAAUUAGGCUUUCUUGGAUGGGUAGACCAGGUGUGGAGGUGUGCAGAUAAGAUUUUACAAACACUCAUACACUCCCAUCUCCAAAAUCAUAAUUUAUCUUACAUUCUGCUACUAAUAAACAUUCCACUGGUUUUAAACAUUCACUUUGCUGGGUCUCCUCUUUAAAAUUUGUCAUUCACUGUUCUCAAUGUUAGAGACGGUAUGCAAACAGUAGGUUUAGGAAUAGAGUCAGGAGAUGGGGGAAGAAAAACUGGUAGGAGAGAACUUAAGUGUCUCACAGUGUUAAAUGUGACUUGAUAGCCACUAUUCAUUUUUUUUUGUAGUUUGCUGUGAGGAUGACUUUAUACAAUUUAAUCUUAAAUAGGAACCUAACUUAGUUAGGCUUCCUUGGGUAGUCUGUGGAGCAUGGAAAAGUUAUUAGCAUGUCAAAAUCCUGUCCACGCACACAUACACGCACAUACA
rnacentral:lncRNA from 10 species